rnacentral:rRNA from 1 species
UUAGAGUUUGAUCCUGGCUCAGGAUGAACGCUAGCGAUAGGCCUAACACAUGCAAGUCGAGGGGUAACAGGGUAGCAAUACCGCUGACGACCGGCAAAUGGGUGAGUAACGCGUAUGCAACCUACCGAUAACAGUUGGAUAGCUCCCUGAAAGGGGAAUUAAACCGGCAUGAUACUAUUUAAUCGCCUGUUUAGAUAGUUAAAUAUUUAUAGGUUAUCGAUGGGCAUGCGUGACAUUAGCAAGUUGGUGAGGUAACGGCUCACCAAUGCUACGAUGUCUAGGGGUUCUGAGAGGAAGGUCCCCCACACUGGUACUGAGACACGGACCAGACUCCUACGGGAGGCAGCAGUGAGGAAUAUUGGUCAAUGGACGGAAGUCUGAACCAGCCACUUCGCGUGCAGGAUGACUGCCCUAUGGGUUGUAAACUGCUUUUAUAUAAGAGGAACAGUAUUUAUGUAUAGAUAUUUGCCAGUAUUAUAUGAAUAAGUCUCGGCUAACUACGUGCCAGCAGCCGCGGUAACACGUAGGAGGCAAACGUUAUCCGGAUUCACUGGGCGUAAAGCGCGUGUAGGUGGUUCUGUAAGUAGGGCGUGAAAGCUCCCGGCUCAACUGGGAGAGGCCGUACUAAACUGCAGAGCUAGAGGAUGGUAGAGGGAGGUGGAAUUCCAGGUGUAGUGGUGAAAUGCGCAGAUAUCUGGAGGAACACCAGUGGCGAAGGCGGCCUCCUGGACCAUUCCUGACACUCAGACGCGAAAGCUAGGGUAGCAAACGGAAUUAGAGACUCCGGUAGUCCUAGCCCUAAACGAUGAUAACUCGCUGUCGGCGAUACACAGUCGGUGGCCAAGCGAAAGCAUUAAGUUAUCCACCUGGGGAGUACGACCGCAAGGUUGAAACUCAAAGGAAUUGACGGGGGCCCGCACAAGCGGAGGAACAUGUGGUUUAAUUCGAUGAUACGCGAGGAACCUUACCCGGGCUCGAACGGUGCAUGAAUAUACGAGAGAUUGUAUAGUCCUUCGGGACAUGUAUCGAGGUGCUGCAUGGUUGUCGUCAGCUCGUGCCGUGAGGUGUUGGGUUAAGUCCCGCAACGAGCGCAACCCCUACUGUCAGUUACUAACAGGUUAAGCUGAGGACUCUGGCGGAACUGCCGGUGUAAACCGUGAGGAGGGUGGGGAUGACGUCAAAUCAGCACGGCCCUUACAUCCAGGGCUACACACGUGUUACAAUGGCCGGUACAAAGGGCAGCUACACAGCGAUGUGAUGCUAAUCUCCAAAUCCGGUCUCAGUUCGGAUCGAAGUCUGCAACCCGACUUCGUGAAGCUGGAUUCGCUAGUAAUCGCGCAUCAGCCAUGGCGCGGUGAAUACGUUCCCGGGCCUUGUACUCACCGCCCGUCAAG